GAUUACGGCCAUACCACACUGACAACGCCCAAUCUCGUCUGAUCUCGGAAGCUAAGCAGAGUUGGGCUGGGUCAGUACUUGGAUGGGUGACCGCCUGGGAAUACCCGGUGCUGUAAGCA
ensembl:rRNA 5S_rRNA 5S ribosomal RNA